UACGAAGGGGGCUAGCGUUGUUCGGAAUUACUGGGCGUAAAGCGCACGUAGGCGGCUUUGUAAGUUAGAGGUGAAAGCCCGGGGCUCAACUCCGGAAUUGCCUUUAAGACUGCAUCGCUAGAAUUGUGGAGAGGUAAGUGGAAGUUCCGAGUGUAGAGGUGAAAUUCGUAGAUAUUCGGAAGAACACCAGUGGCGAAGGCGACUUACUGGACACAUAUUGACGCUGAGGUGCGAAAGCGUGGGGAGCAAACAGG
rnacentral:rRNA from 1 species